CAGGCCUAACACAUGCAAGUCGAGCGGAUGACAGGCAGCUUGCUCCUUGAUUCACCGGCGGACGGGUGAAUAAUGCCUACGAUUCUGCCUGCAUAAUGGGGGACAACGUUGCUAAAUGAACGCUAAUACCGCAUACCUCCUACCGGAGAAAGCAGGGGACCUUCGAGCCUUGCGCUAUCAGAUGAGCCUAUGUCGGAUUAUCUACUCGGUGAGGUAAUGGCUCACCAAGGCGACGAUCCGUAACUGGUCUGAAAGGAUGAUCAGUCACACUGGAACUGACACACGGUCCAGACUCCUACGGGAGGCAGCAUCUGGCGAAUAUUGGACAAUGGGCCAAACCCUGAUCCAGACAUGCCGCGUGUGUGAACAACGUCUUCGCAUCGUAAAGCACUUCAACAUC
rnacentral:rRNA from 1 species